UAUAGGAUUGCUGGGGGCUGG
rnacentral:piRNA from 1 species